GUAUUGCUCAAGGUCACUUCGACAUGCAGCUCAGCCCAGAGCUGGGAUUUGAACCACCGACCAGCCGACCUGCUCUACCUGCUGAGCCACAGCCGUCCUGAGAUUGCAUGUACAACAUUCAGAACAUCAGCAUCAUUGACAGAUUAUCAGUCGUGGAACAUAAGGAGGGAGGGUCCUUACUAUAAAGAGUCUCUUCCUUCUGCUUCCUGCAGAUCUACAACAGCUAAACGAUGGCUGAGCAACCCAGAGCUGCUGGCUGGAUUAAUACAAACGCAGCUGAACGGCACCAAGUAGAACCAACAGUCCCCUUUGAUUCAAUCAAGCCUGAUCCAAAAUCAUGUACAACAUAUUUAAAUUAACUGGAUCCAGGUUUUUGCCUCCUGCAUCAAAUAUACUCACUCACAGAUAACAGCCACCUAAAUACAGCUGAUUGUUUUCAUCAGGAUCCAUGAAUUAUUAACCAGAAUGUGGAAAAACACUCACAAUAUUAAUGUGAGUAAGAAAAGAUUCCUGGAUCUGUUUCUUUAAUAAAACAUGUGAUGAGUUCAUAAAAUAUGAUGUUUUAAAGAUUAAACCCACAACAGGAAGUGAAGUUAGAAUCAGUUCCACUAACUCAACAUUAAUAAUAAUUCAAUAUUAAAAUAUCUUCAGGUUCAUCAGUCACAUUUUACUGCACAAGUUCUGCUGAUCAUUUAAAUUCACUUGAUAAUAACACAUAUUGAACCUGUAACAGAGUAUUUUCACAGUAUUAGAACCUUCACUUUAAUAAAAGAUGGGAAUUCUUCCUCUGUUAUUAUUAUUUGACACAAAUCGUCUCAUCAAACUCAGUAACAGUUAAACACAAACAUGAAUCUGGAUCUGACUGAAUUCUGCUUCAUUGUUCAUCAGAACAGAAACCCUCAUGGCGGUCGUCCUGGUUCUGGUCCAAAGCACAAACAGUGAAGGUCCACUCAGUCUCUACUGGUCUGACCUGUGGUGCUGAUGGUGAAAUACUGGAAAAAGUGAAGAAAAUGAAAUGGACACAGGUGAAGUUCACAGGCUGUCAGGAGUGUGACAUCAUCAUCGUCUUCUGUCCAAUCACAUCUCUUGUUCGAUCAGAUGUGUCGGCAGCCAUGAGAGAGAUUCCAGGUGAUAAACCUGUGAUUUUAGUGCUGAUGCAUCACACCAGAGAUGUCGACUUUUCCACUGAUGUCAAAAAGUGGAGUGGAAUCUAUCAGAACGUUGUGUUGGAUGUUCAUGUUCUCUUCCAUGAGACUCAGCCUGGAUUACUGAUGUGUCCAAGAAAUGAUGAGGCAGUUCAUCAAAUACAAACAGAGUUAAAAGCUCACAGUAGAAGUUGGUUUGGAUGAGUAGUUCUGGUUUUAAUGUCGGGAUGUGAAGCAACAAGCAACAGAACAGCUGUUAUUAAUAACUGCAGCCAGUCUGUGACAUCCUCUGACAUUAUAUAUUAUUGUUAUUAUUAUUAUUAUUAUUAUUGCUAUUACUAUCUGCUUUUAUUGUGACGCUGCCUUAAAGUUUCAGAUCCAUAAAAGUUGUCCUGCGGUUUGUCUUCAA